AUAUAUAUAUAUAUAUAUAAAGAAAAAAAUACACCCAAAGUGCAGCACAAAACAAAAACAUCUCAACUGCACCUGCCAUUAGUGAAGCACAAAUAAAAGCUAAACAUGUGGUAAGAGUAUUUUCAUGUAGCUAAUGUUUUACCAUUAUUUCAUUUCAGUUACUUUCUUGGAUGAUCCUGGACCAGUAGACACUGUGUGUUUGCUGUAGAAAUGUUUAUCAAGAAUGAUGAUUCUGAGGCUUUGAUGCCACAUUUUUAUAUCAAUGGUUGUCUGCCAAGCAAAUUCAAGCUUUUGGGGUUUUUUCUCAUUUUUCAAUCAGUGUCAACACACAUACAAUAGUGUUUAUACUAUAUCUACAUAUA